rnacentral:rRNA from 1 species
UACGUAGGGUGCGAGCGUUAAUCGGAAUUAUUGGGCGUAAAGAGCUCGUAGGCGGCUUGUUACGUCGUUCGUGAAAACUUGGGGCUCAACCCCAAGCUUGCGGUCGAUACGGGCAGACUAGAGUACUGCAGGGGAGACUGGAAUUCCUGGUGUAGCGGUGGAAUGCGCAGAUAUCAGGAGGAACACCGGUGGCGAAGGCGGGUCUCUGGGCAGUAACUGACGCUGAGGAGCGAAAGCGUGGGGAGCGAACAGG